rnacentral:misc_RNA from 1 species
UCUCCGUUGGUGAACCAGCGGAGGGAUCAUUACCGAGUUUACAACUCCCAAACCCCUGUGAACAUACCAUUUGUUGCCUCGGCGGUGCCUGCUUCGGCAGCCCGCCAGAGGACCCAAACCCUUGAUUUUAUACAGCAUCUUCUGAGUAAAUGAUUAAAUAAAUCAAAACUUUCAACAACGGAUCUCUUGGUUCUG